rnacentral:rRNA from 2 species
GGCUCAGAUUGAACGCUGGCGGCAUGCUUUACACAUGCAAGUCGAACGGCAGCACGAAAGAGCUUGCUCUUUUGGUGGCGAGUGGCGAACGGGUGAGUAAUACAUUGGAACGUACCGAGUAAUGGGGGAUAACUGUCCGAAAGGAUGGCUAAUACCGCAUACGCUCUGAGGAGGAAAGCGGGGGACCUUCGGGCCUCGCGUUAUUCGAGCGGCCAAUGUCUGAUUAGCUAGUUGGUGGGGUAAAGGCCUACCAAGGCGACGAUCAGUAGUGGGUCUGAGAGGAUGAUCCGCCACACUGGGACUGAGACACGGCCCAGACUCCUACGGGAGGCAGCAGUGGGGAAUUUUGGACAAUGGGCGAAAGCCUGAUCCAGCCAUGCCGCGUGUCUGAAGAAGGCCUUCGGGUUGUAAAGGACUUUUGUCAGGGAAGAAAGGGUUUGGGUUAAUACCCUGAGCUUAUGACGGUA